rnacentral:lncRNA from 1 species
CCAAAAGUAAUACUUCAUUUAAAUGAAUAAAAGACCUUGACCAAAAAAAAAAAAAUGAAUAAAAGACGGGUCCAAUUGGACAGCCAGCAUAAUUUAGAGGAUUCGGAAUCUCCCAACUUACAAAUGAAAACAACCUAAUAGAGAGAGAGAAGGAAUUAAUGUCUAAGAACUUCAAUAAAGAACUCUUCUGCAAUCUUUACCGCUUCUGUAUAUUUUCAUUCGGUCCCUUAUCCUUUCCAUAAAAAUAAGAGAGUUUCGAGUCUUCCAUAAAUAACAGGAGAGACUAACCAGUAGAGCCAUUUGUCUUCUUCCAGUCAAUCUGCCAAAGGUGUUGUUUUUCAUGACAUGCAUUCGCCAUUUCCUGAACUAUUAUUUCCUCCAAACUAGCUCCAGGGACUUGAACAUUCACCAACGACCAACCUGCUGUUGCAUUUGGGCAUAUCACAAGGCAGUGAAGGGUCAAUUCCACUGACUCAGAGCACUGCAGGCAAAAGGGGAAAAUUGGUGGGAUUUGACAGUUCAACAUUUCAUCAACCUUUUAUCAUCAAUUGCCACAAUAUAUUCUAAAAAAUAUCUGAUAAUAAUAAUAUAGAAAUUUAGUCUUAAAUCCCGUAUCCAAGGUUAUUACCAAAAUCAACAUCGGCAGUCUAAUUUCAAUUCUGUUUUCAAAAUACCAAAUGAAUUCAGAAUUGCACAAACUUUAUGUCUAGGCGACCGUUUCGAAUUAAGCUUUCCAAUAAACUAAAAAUCAUGAUUUUCUGAUCACUCUAGUCUCGGGAAUAGAAGGAGAACCGUGACUGCUCUGCAGCGUUUAAAAACCAGAAAAUAGCAGCAGCGUGUAAAAUUCAAAAUUCCAUAUAAAAUCCAAAUCAAGUCCAACCACCUUCAAAAUUAAUAUGGUUAAACUUAUCUUAUCCAAGUUUCUUUCCCAAUUGGUUUUAGGUCAAUACCAGUUUUAAUAAAGGAGUUACAUAACUUAGAAGUUAGGUAGAAGUAUGUCAAUAUCUGUUUUAAAAAUCAGCAAGCUUAGUAUCUUUCAACUUGCAUAACUUUUACUACAAAACUUCAAUUAAGCUAAAUUUUGGUCUGGAAACUCCUAAGUUAUCUAGCAACAAGUGUGCCUUGGUUGCAACUCAAUCAUUGUUCAAUUCUAAGAGUUACAAGCAUUGGAAGUUGAUGCGUAACUUGCUGAAAACGGAUUCUCUCCAGCUUUGAUCACCAAUUUUCAAAAAUUCACAACUCCCAAUCCUUAACUCCUAAAAUUCUGAAGUUUUAGAGCAAUAAACCAAGUUAAUCAAAUUUUAAAACAAAAUUGGUUUUGCUCCAGAACUCAGCUCGUAGAAGUUGCAGCAAAACAACCAAGUUGCUGCCCUGUUUGAAUUUUUCUGCAGCAGGACAGAUUCAGCGACCUGACUUUAAAAAUUCACCAUAAAUUGUAUAAUUAAUGAAAAGGCCUCAAGUUUUCCAGUCCAGUUCCAUAUAUUCCCAAGUUUAACCCAGACUUGGUCCUAUGCAAUUCCGAUCAUCACAGAAUUAGUUAUAGCUUUUCAAAGUUUAUAACUUCAUUUAAAAGUAAUGUAGAAAAUCAGAUUUCACAAUUUAACUUUGAAAAAUCAUAACUAAUUCUUCGGUUAAUACAAAACCUUGAAAAUUGAAUCUUAACAAUUAUACUUAUUAUAGUUUACUUAGCUUCAAUCACUACUGAGUUACUGAUUCACUUACAAAGUUGCCAUUUAAUUCAAAGAAAAUCCGAUUUUCAACAAAGCAGUUUAGCAUUUCAAAAUCUAAUCCUUCAAUACCUCUCAAAAUCGAUUCCAAAUCAACCACCAACCAAGUUCAUUGCCAUCACAAUAUAUCAAAUAAUCAACUCAACGACAACAAAUCCAAUAUAACCCAUCAAAAUUCCGAGUUCUCAACAAUCACUCAUCAACAAUUCAUAAUCCACACAUAAUCAAUCAAUUUCACAAAAUCCACAAAUUCAAUCAAUUCACAGCCACAAUUCAGCAUUCAUAUAACCAAUCAAUUACUCACAACAAUUAAACUUAUUUGCAAUUAUUCAAUAAACUUUGUGGGCAUUCUUAAAUUAAAACCAUUUAAAAUUAAACCCCCUACCUUGAUUAGCCGAGUUCAUAUAGAUUAACGUCACAACUCCUUUCCCUUUUAGUUUCAUGGCAGCAGCGGUGAUUCCAACGUGACCCAGACUGCGGCAGCAGCAACAAUUUUAAUUUUUCAAACAUAUCUUGGCAGAACUAAGACAGAGACAUAUGCUAUCAUAAUUAGAAGAAGAUCAUAGCAGAAAAAUAAAAUGGCAGCAGUGCAAGGGUGGAGGAAUUACAUAUUCAGAAAUGGCAGAAUUGGAAUUGAAACUGGAACAAGGGCAGUGCUGAUUCAAAGACAAGAACAGAGGACGCUGUGGUGGGUGAAUGGGACCGAAGCAGUGACUAAAGUAGUUCAGUAGCAGCGGCGUUCAUAACACUUCUCCAGCGGCAACCACGGUGAUUCCGGCGGCAGUGAUAGCUUGGGUUCGGCGGCGGUGGAUCCUUCAACAGCGACGGUCUUCUCGGGCACCUGGAAUGACGAUGGAAGCGGCCUCGCUCUCCUCCCCGGUUCGUGAUUCCAGCGACGAUGAGGGGCUUAGACAGAAUCAGGAUCAGCGACGUCAUCUCCUCCUCUCACGUGCAACGGCGACGAUGGAGCUUCUGCGAUGGUGAUCAGGCGCAACCCGCAAUGGCAACGGGACGGAACGGUGCCUCCUUCCCUUGGUUCUCGCAACGCUCGUUCUGGGUGUCUCUCUCUCACUCGCGUGCGGCACAACGGCGGCGGCGGUGAGGUCCCAGCCGCGUCAUUCCUUUCUCCUCCCUCUCUUCUCCUUCCUCUCCUCCUUCGUUUUCCCCUUUUCCCUUCUGUUUCCCUUUUUUUUUC